rnacentral:tmRNA from 1 species
GGGGAUGAUCGGCUUCGACAAGUGAUUCCCCUUGUAUGUGCAAGGCAAGCAGGUUUGUUCAUCUUGUAAAACUGACAAACAAAAAUAGUUGCAAAAAACGCAAUUAAGAGCCCGUUCAUGGCUAUGAAUGGUCUCGCAUUCGCCCGAGCAUAAAUUCUCGGACGCAUCCAAAGGACUAAGGUUCCGUAGGUCCUGUCGGGUGUCAUAUCACGGAACUCGGUGUGGUAUCCGUUCUGAGUAUCACACUUAAACAACAAUCAGGAAUCGGCUGUCUCGGAUUUCGCCAACUUUUUACCGAGAUUGCUUAGACCAAAGUCGGCUACCCUUGUAGACUCAUAGAAGGUCCUCAUUUGCACGGGGGUUCAAUUCCCCCCAUCUCCACAG